CUCAGAGGGUCUGUGUGCAGGAUGGCGUGGAUUCCUGCCCUCCUUAUGCUCCUCUGUCACUGUACAGGUUCCCUCUCCCAGCCUGUAUUGACUCAGCCACCAUCCGUCUCUGCAUCUCCUGGAACAACUGCCAGAGUCACCUGCACCCUGAGCAGUGGCCUCAAUGUUGGUGGUAACAGGAUCUUCUGGUACCAGCAAAAGGAAAGCAGCCGUCCCCGGUAUCUCCUGAACUACUACUCAGAAUCAGACAAGGGCCAGGGUUCCGGCGUUCCCAAUCGCUUUUCUGGUUCCAAAGAUACCUCAGCCAAUGCAGGGAUUCUGCUCAUCUCUGGGGUGCAAGCUGAGGAUGAGGCUGACUAUUACUGUGCUAUAUGGUACAGCAAUGCUUAUCCUCACAGUGAUUCAGAGUCAUGGGGAAGGAAUUGCGCCCAGUUUGUGCUAGAUUUGAUCCCUUCCUCGUCGGGGUCUCCAGGGGAGAAGAUCACUAUCUCUUGUACCCGUAUCAGUGGAAACUUUGGAUCUUACUAUGUACACUGGUACCAGCAGCUUCCUGGGAGUGCCCCCACAAACGUGAUCUAUAAAGACAAUAACAGACCCUCUGAUGUUCCCGAUAGGUUUUCUGGGUCCAUCGAGAGUGCCUCCAAUGCUGCCCACCUGACCAUCUCUGGCCAGAUUUAG